AGAAAAAAAAUCUACAGGGUGUAGUAGACAGCAGUACAGAUGUAGGUCUGCUGUUGGUGGAGAUUUAAGCAAGCUCACAAUGUUCUUGCCCAAAUUCAGAACAUGUGUCAGGGUCGACUGGGAGACACAGAUGUCACUUGAGGCAGAGGUGAUCCUUCAAACAGUUACACUAAAAUACUUCUGUAGACGAUCCCAGAAAAGUACUGUGUUAGUAUCGAGGAGCAGUGAUGUGAAAUUUGAAUACUCUGAAUACAUACUAUGAAUGACCCUUAUUAAUCUACUGAACUUGUAAAAAGUGCACUUUGUAAUAGUGUCAAAUUAAGCCUUUUAACUAUCUCUCUCAUCUUUUCCUUUCACUUCUCAUGUGUACCUUCACAGAUCUCCACAGGUUUGGAAAGUCUGACUCUCAGACUUCAGUCCUGUAGGUUCUGCUGUCAGUACUCCAUUGUGCGAUACCCACCACCACCUUCAGUGAAUGGCUGAAAACCCACGGCCUGAAGGCGGGUCAUGGUACAGUUUGAGUGGCAUGAUGGGACAGUGAAGAAUCUUUCAUCAGUGCAAAAGUACCAGGGUGCAGGUUCUUCUGGACAUGUCUGGGAUGAACGCCCUCCACCUGCUCCAUCUCCAGCACGCUCUGUGAAUACUACUGCAGGAGCAGCUGGCCAACCAACAGAGCUUCAAUGUCAUCCUGUAGGUCAAACACACCGCCGGGGUGUUUUCACUCAUUUAUAAUGUGACCGAUUAUGAUCUGCUUUGUCAUUUAGUCCUAAAGUCUUCUGUCUCUUUCACUCUUGAAGAUUUUCCUCUAUAUAUACCAGCCAAAAGUUUGCACACACUUGCCUAAAAAGCUUUCAGUCUAAUGCUUUAUGCUUAAUUACUUUAAGUUGUGCAAUUGUCUAUAUAAAUAUAAAAUGUGAUUUGUAAUUUACAGCUUUCGAAAUGAAAAUGUACAGUUUUCUUUAAGAUUAGUUCACCCAAAAGUGAAUAUUCUGUUGUCAUUUACUAAUGUCUUCCAAACACAAAUUAAGAUACUUUUAAUAAAACCUGAGAGAUUUCUGUUCCUCCAUUGAAAAUCCAUUCCACCAAAACUUUCAAGCUUCAAAAGGUUCAUACAGACAUCAUUAAAGUAAUGCAUAUUUCAUUCCCAACAUUUCAUCCCCAUACAUCCAUUUAUUUGUUUUUUCAUAAAGUUUUCAUGGUGGUAUUAAUCCUAAAAUAUGAGCAACAUCAAAACUAAAGAAUUAGUAGGUGUGUCUAGACAUUUGAAUAGUAGUGUAUGUGUCUUCUUUUAAUUGGUCUGUAAGAACACUACAAAAACUAACAUUUGCAUCUAUACAUUAAAUUGGCACAUUAUGUUCGUAUUAUUUAAAAUUUAGUGCAAAACAGCUCAUAUAAAUGCAAAUUAUAUAUUUUCAGUUCCGAUUCAGGUGCAUGUACAAGCAGGAAUGACUGGGACUUUUCUCAGUGGACUUAUGGUCCAGCUGUCGAUCCCACAUUUAGAUACCAAGCAAAUAAACAAAGAUUUUAUUAGGAGAAAAAAAUUCUGACAUCAUCUGACUGGCCUAUUUACAUGUAAGCUGCGGUGCUGGAUCCUGGCAACAUAGUCAACAGUUUCAAAAAAUUAAUAGGCCUAUAUAUAUAUAUGAGAACUAGAUAAUACAG